ensembl:lncRNA
CUCUUUCCUCGGAGCAGCGGCGGGCUCUUACCCUCGGAGACCCGGGUAACCAUGACUCUGAUCCCUCCAACUUUAUGAACGUGAACCCGCGGCGGGAUUAAAACGCAUUCUUCGCGUGACGCAAUGAGGAGACGACAGACGACGCGGACCCUACGCGCGCUCCACUAACAACCCCCCUGAUACCGAUAUCGAUCUCGACCCCCGGACCCCCGCGAUGGACGAGGCGUGCUCCCCGGGAGACCAGCCCUGAGCCACCCGGGAAGCUGACUCCUCUCCCGGGAGACCACGGACAUGACGGCACCGGGACCCGUGUUCAACCCGCCGCGGUGGCGGCUGCGGCUGCAGAGUUUCCUCGCGUGCUGCUGUCUGCUGCGCGCGGUCACCGGAAAGGUCGCUCAGGAUGGAUACUCAGACACGCUGCAGAACACAGAACAACAUCAGCCCUCUUUCAGCCUCUUCCUCCUUUUCCUUCCUCUUCCUCCACCUCCUCUGAACCUUCUCUUCCUCUUCCUCC